rnacentral:rRNA from 1 species
UACGGGGGGGGGCAAGCGUUGUUCGGAAUUACUGGGCGUAAAGGGCUCGUAGGCGGCCAACUAAGUCGGAUGUGAAAUCCCCAGGCUUAACCUGGGAACUGCAUCCGAUACUGGAUGGCUUGAAUCCGGGAGAGGGAUGCAGAAUUCCAGGUGUAGCGGUGAAAUGCGUAGAUAUCUGGAGGAAUACCGGUGGCGAAGGCGGCAUCCUGGGACCGGCAUUGACGCUGAUGAGCGAAAAGCUAGGGGGAGCAAAACGGG